CUGAAGGAGGCAGAGGCAGGGGG
rnacentral:piRNA from 1 species